UACGGGGGGAGCAAGCGUUGUUCGGAUUUACUGGGCGUAAAGGGCGCGUAGGCGGUCAGCACAAGUCAGUUGUGAAAUCUCCGGGCUUAACUCGGAAAGGUCAACUGAUACUGUGCGACUAGAGUGCAGAAGGGGCAACUGGAAUUCUCGGUGUAGCGGUGAAAUGCGUAGAUAUUGAGAGGAACACCUGCGGCGAAGGCGGGUUGCUGGGCUGACACUGACGCUGAUGCGCGAAAGCCAGGGGAGCGAACGGG
rnacentral:rRNA from 1 species